rnacentral:rRNA from 1 species
GCUCAAGAACUACAAAGGAAUUGACGGGGCCCGCACAAGCGGUGGAGCAUGUGGUUUAAUUCGAUGAUACGCGAGGAACCUUACCUGGGCUCAAAUGUAUGUUGACGUAUUCUGAAAGGGAUACUUCUUCGGACAAUAUACAAGGUGCUGCAUGGUUGUCGUCAGCUCGUGCCGUGAGGUGUCGGGUUAAGUCCCAUAACGAGCGCAACCCCUAUCAUUAGUUGCCAUCAGGUCAAGCUGGGGACUCUAAUGAAACUGCCUACGCAAGUAGUGAGGAAGGUGGGGAUGACGUCAAAUCAGCACGGCCCUUACGUCCAGGGCUACACACGUGCUACAAUGGCCGGUACAGAGCGCAGCGAGGCCGCGAGGCGGAGCGAAUCGCUUAAAGCCGGUCCCAGUACGGAUUGGAGUCUGCAACCCGACUCCAUGAAGUUGGAAUCGCUAGUAAUCGCGCAUCAGCAUGGCGCGGUGAAUACGUUCCCGGGCCUU